rnacentral:rRNA from 1 species
UAGAAGACAUUUGAAAGAGAUUAAAGAUUUAUCGGUGAUGGAUGGGGAUGCGUCUGAUUAGCUUGUUGGCGGGGUAACGGCCCACCAAGGCGACGAUCAGUAGGGGUUCUGAGAGGAAGGUCCCCCACAUUGGAACUGAGACACGGUCCAAACUCCUACGGGAGGCAGCAGUGAGGAAUAUUGGUCAAUGGGCGAGAGCCUGAACCAGCCAAGUAGCGUGCAGGAAGACGGCCCUAUGGGUUGUAAACUGCUUUUAUAAGGGAAUAAAGUGAGUCUCGUGAGACUUUUUGCAUGUACCUUAUGAAUAAGGACCGGCUAAUUCCGUGCCAGCAGCCGCGGUAAUACGGAAGGUCCGGGCGUUAUCCGGAUUUAUUGGGUUUAAAGGGAGCGUAGGCCGGAGAUUAAGCGUGUUGUGAAAUGUAGACGCUCAACGUCUGCACUGCAGCGCGAACUGGUUUCCUUGAGUACGCACAAAGUGGGCGGAAUUCGUGGUGUAGCGGUGAAAUGCUUAGAUAUCACGAAGAACUCCGAUUGCGAAGGCAGCUCACUGGAGCGCAACUGACGCUGAAGCUCGAAAGUGCGGGUAUCGAACAGGAUUAGAUACCCUGGUAGUCCGCACGGUAAACGAUGGAUGCCCGCUGUUGGUCUGAACAGGUCAGCGGCCAAGCGAAAGCAUUAAGCAUCCCACCUGGGGAGUA